AGAUGCGCUUGAAUGCUACGACUGCCGAAAUGUCACAGAUACGAACCUGCAACCGAACGGUCACGAGCUAUCCACGUUAACAAGAAAUUGUGUUGACGAUCCGUCCGUCGAUUGUGCGAAGAUGGAUUCCAUAUUCAACGUGUGUGCCGAUAUUCAAAAAGCGAAAUUGGUUUGCCCGAGGUUUUGCAACCUCUGUAACGUGGUUGAUGGACAUUGGAACUGGUUGUCCUCUUCGAGCGGAUGUAACGUCACGUGCGCAAAUGGAACUCAAGCACGUCAUUGAAUUUGCACCGAUCCUGCACCUUACAAUGGUGGACUGGACUGUGUGGGAACAGGAACUGAGAGUCAGACGUGCAUUAUGGAUUCGUGUCCUGUGGGCACCAUCGGGUUCAUGCUCAGUUACAUGCGACAUUGGCAUGCAGAGACGGGUCGGAUCGUGUGACAACCCAUUACCGACAAAAGGUGGGGACAAUUGUUUGGGAGAUUCCAGAGAGGACCGAAUAUGCCUCGCUACAGGAUGCACGGGUAUGUACCGGCGGAUAUGUAUUUGAUGAUUUUCUCAACUGAAACGUUCACCAGAAUUAUUAUUUUAUUUAUAAUUGAGCAUAUUCUUUUAAACGAAAACACAUAAGUGCAUGUAUCAAUUAGCAAAGCAAAUAAUAACUAAAACCAAAUAUAGCAUCCUCUAAAAAAUAAUUAUCUUCCCGCUUGAUGACCGUUGCCAUGAUAACACCCACAUUUUGUACAGCAAUCGCCACACGAGUCGUCAUAUUUAUGAAAUGUAUGUGUAUAUUUUUCCGUUUGUAUUGUAUUCCUUAUGACUGAUUGUAUGGAUUGGUAGCGUACAUGUUUUCGUCGUUUGUUUCUAUAUAAAAGUUCAAAGACCUGUGUCAUAAUGAACACCUAACAACAUCUACUUUAAGCUGCUUAUUACCACAGCGUUGUGUAUGAAAAAGUCCAUAUAAAAACACACACACUACGACGUUUGGUCGACAGCAUGGGACUCGGUUCGGUAUUAAUAUAAAUCACGUCGGAUAUUAUGCACACGUUUGAGUACUUUUUUUUUUGAUGGACAUUGGUUGGCGUGGGACAACUGGAGUUCCUGUUCUGCGUCGUGUGGCGGAGGGCGUUAAACUAGAUACAGAGCAUGCAAUAAUCCACUUCCGUCUCUUCUUGGCCGUUACUGUGAUGGCCUUCCACAAGACAUUGGGAUCUGUAACGGUGCUUCUUGCACAGGUUAUGAUAUCGUAUUUUUUGUUGACCAACCAGCCAUGCCAGGUUGUUGGUUAUCAAAAGACUAUACAUACAAAACAUGUCGUGCGGAAUUUGGUAGAUAUAAUUCACACCCAAAUUAUCAAUUUAGUCUUCAAGAAGCAACGUUUACGGAAGCCAAUUCAUGAGUGUAUAUGUUUACAUGGACUUUUAUCAUAUCACAGACUCAUAGCUGUCAACGAGUGUCUUGUGACCUAAAUAAAAACUACCAUUUACUGUCGACAAUUGCGAUCGAUACAACUAACACUAGGGUAGAGUCUAGUGUACUGGUAUACAUGUCAAAAAAAGAUUACGUGAAAUUGGACAUAUGUGUUUGUCACAAUUCAAAUCGUGGAAACCUCAUACUCGCCAGACCACUCGACAGCCGAUCCACAUUAACGGGCAUUUUUAUGCAUUAGUUAAGAUGCACAUUUUGAUUAUUUCGUCAUUAUUAAUAUACAGGAUGGGUAAUAUGGAAUGAUUCACUAUGCUUAGAAUGUUUCUAAAUCAGUAUAUUUAUUGUUGAUCAUGCCGAAACAUUUUUAACAGCUGCAUUAUUUCUUGAGAGUUUUAAUUAUUUUGCCGUUUUGUGUUUUUGCUUUUCAUGUACUAGUUCACUGACUUUGAAUGUUAUUCCGAAACACGGGACAUUAAAGUAUCGCAAAUUAAAUCAAAUGGUGCAUUUAUUAGUCCAAUACUUUAAAAUUAAAUUAUGAUUUCUUCUUAUCAAAAUAUACUUUGUCACUGUGGCAUUUAUCUUGUUAAACAUUAUGGUUUGAAUUGACACAAAUUGUGCCCACAUUUGUUCUUUCCAGCAGCUUUCUAAAUUGCAAUUAUUAUGAAUGCCAUUCUGGUUCGAUAGAACAGAGACCUGAGCGUAUAAGAAGUUUUAACGCAAACAAUGCAAGACAAAUGAUUCGCUGUAUUGUGUGCAAAUAAUGAGACCCAGUCGUUUAAGAUGUUUUAAUGCAACCGAUGCAAGAGAAAUGAUUCGCUGUAUUGUGUUCACAUAAUGAGACCCAGGCGUAUAAGAAGUUUUAACGCAAACAACGCAAGAUAAAUAAUUUGCUGUACUGUGUUUACAUAAUCAUUUUCACCUUAACGACUGAACGAUGUAUUCACCGAAUUCGCAAUAAUUUUGUACUUAUGUCACUAUUGUUAAACUGCUUUCGCGAACCAUUGUACGUCUGCUUUCGCAGCACUGUGCAUAUAUAUGUAUGCUUUAAUACUAAUACAUAAUUGAGAUAGACGUGUCAGUACUGUUGCACAUAAACUUUGAAAUGAUAUGACCUUAAAUUAUAAUAAAGUGUGUCACUACACACUUUGACGCCAGAUUUGAAAACGUAUUUGUUUAUGGAUUACAAUAGUUUGUUUUGAAAUAUUAAGUAACAAAAGUACUAAAAUUGACAUUAAUUCCCAUACUGACUUUUGGUGGUAAAUUGUAUACGUUUGUGAAAAUGCAUUAUGUUCAGAACAUUUAGAUGUCUUCUGUUAAGAACCAACGUUGGGUUUUAGCCCUCUGAUGACCAUCUCAUACACUAUUGUAUGUGUAUGUAUACAUUACUGCAAAAUGUUGUUUAUUCUCACAACAUUGAUUUAUUUUUGUACAACGCCGUUGAAAUUGUAUUUAGAAACAGAGAUAGGAAAACAAACACGUUUCAAAAAUAAACACCCAAGCUUUGAAUAGAUCGUUUCAAUGUGAUUCUUCAAGCGUCUUUCACGUUCACGCUUAUUGUUGUGUUGCAUGCAUUGUCCUGGAUUGCAUAGAAUAUUGUUUGCUCGAUUAAAAUGUGUAUUUUCAACAAUAAGUUUGGUUUCAAUUAAAUGUUAUUCCAUUGUAUGAUAUUAAGCAAUAAUAAAAACUCUUUAUUUAAAACAGAAAUAACGCUUCGUACAAAAUAUACUUAAAACUACAGGCAAGUAUCAGUUUUGGCAUAGAACUAUAACAUAUUUUUAAAUAAAUGACAAUUAAAUUUUUGUUGUUCUUGUUUGUCAAUUAUCUUGUACAAUUUAAGGUGUUGUCUUAGUGAUGUAAUUA